GGGCGCUGGGUCCGUGUUGGGAGUGGCUGCGGGAGCGCGGGGCUGCCGCCGGGACUCUUGUCUCUUGCCUGCGGCAGAGCCGUAGGAGCUUGCGCGUUUGGCGCGUCUGUCUUUUCCUCCCGCGGAGAGCUUGAGAUGUGGUAAUGUCAGCCAGACUUCUCAGAUCCUUGGCCAGAUGUCACUAUAUUCUAUCAAAAGCGUGUCAGUGCCAAAGACUUGUUCAUCGAACAUUAAAACCACUUAAGGAAUUUGAGACCACAGCAUGCAACACCCUGACAAGACGUCAGAACGUGAAUUUGUUCUUUCCUGAUACAGCAGCUGUUGGUUUGAAUAAGUCCCAGGUCCUGGAAAUGAACCGGAAAAUAUCAAAUACAAACGUACUCUCUCCAUUAAACACCGCACGUUACCAAGAUGAAAAAGAGCACCUUCCAACCAGGAACUCCCUUGGUACUCAUAGGAAAGUGACUCACAAACCAAAUCUGUUAGGUUUUAAGUGGUUUAUAAAAAUAUUAAAGAGACAUUCCUCAUCUGUGUCAACGGAAACACUUGUUUCUAAACAAGACUUUCCGCAAAUCAAGAGACCACUGAAAGCAUCAAGGACCAGGCAGCCAUCCAGGACCAACCUUCCAGUUCUGCCUGUGAACAAGGACCUGAUGCACUGUACUGCAUUUGCAACCGCAGAUGAAUACCAUCUUGGAAGUCUCUCUCAAGAUCUGGCCUCCCAUGGAUAUGUUGAAGUAACAAGCUUGCCUAGAGAUGCAGCAAAUAUUUUGGUGAUAGGUAUGGAAAAUUCUGCAAAAGAAGGUGAUCCUGGAACAAUAUUCUUCUUCAGGGAAGGAGCUGCUGUCUUCUGGAAUGUGAAAGACAAAACUAUGAAGCAUGUGAUGCAAGUUCUUGAAAAACAUGAAAUUCAGCCCUAUGAAAUUGCAUUGGUACACUGGGAGAAUGAAGAGCUUAACUACUCAAAAACAGAGGGACAGUCAAAACUUCACAGAGGGGAAAUCAGGUUAAAUUCAGAGCUAGAUUUAGAGGACGCCAUUCUAGAGAAAUUUGCUUUCUCAAAUGCUCUUUGCCUUUCAGUGAAACUGGCUAUCUGGGAAGCAUCACUGGAUAAAUUUGUUGAAUCUAUUCAGUCGAUUCCAGAGGCUUUAAAAGCUGGGAAGAAAGUGAAACUAUCUCAUGAAGAAGUUAUGCAGAAAAUGGGUGAACUCUUUGCCUUAAGACACCAUAUAAACUUGAGUUCAGACUUCUUGAUCACUCCUGAUUUCUACUGGGACAGAGAAAAUCUGGAAGAACUUUAUGAUAAAACUUGUCGGUUCCUCAGCAUUACUCGUAGAGUUAAGGUCAUGAAUGAAAAGCUUCAGCACUGCAUGGCGCUGACAGAUCUGAUGCGGAAUCACCUGACCGAGAAGAGGACGCUCCGCCUGGAGUGGAUGAUCGUCAUCCUUAUCACCAUAGAGGUAAUGUUUGAGCUGGGACGAGUAUUUUUCUGAUUAAGUGACGACCAAAGGAAAAGUGUCAUUGCAAGAUAUAUUGAAGUUCUACAAUCAAAAAUAAAUGCUCACCUGUUGAGAUUAAUAGGGGACACGGGUUCGAGCCCUGGUCCGGGAAAAUCCCACAUGCCGUGGAGCAACUAAGCUCGAGCACCGCAACUACUGAGCCUGCACUUUAGAGCCCAUGAGCCACAACUACUGAGCCCGUGUGCUGCAACUACUGAAGCCCACGCACCUAGAGCCUGUGCUCCGCAACAAGAGAAGCCACCGCAAUGAGAAGCCUGCGCACUGCAAUGAAGAGUAGCCCCCGUUCGCCGCAACUAGAGAAAGCCCGCGUGCAGCAACAAACACCCAACGCAGCCAAGAAAUAAAUUUUUUUAAAAAGAAAACUCAUUUCUACCUUAAAAAAAAAAGCUUUCUAGAUCCUCAAGUUCCACAUCAGCACUUUCAUAAAAUCGCUGUGCCUGCAUUGUCACCUGUAAGCAGCGUAUCAAGCCUGUUCUCCUUUCCCAUUUUCCCAUCUCA